UACAGAGGUGGCAAGCGUUGUUCGGAAUUACUGGGCGUAAAGGGCGCGUAGGCGGCCAACUAAGUCAGACGUGAAAUCCCUCGGCUUAACCGGGGAACUGCAUCUGAUACUGGAUGGCUUGAGUUCGGGAGAGGGAUGCGGAAUUCCAGGUGUAGCGGUGAAAUGCGUAGAUAUCUGGAGGAACACCGGUGGCGAAGGCGGCAUCCUGGACCGACACUGACGCUGAGGAGCGAAAGCCAGGGGAGCAAACGGG
rnacentral:rRNA from 1 species